rnacentral:rRNA from 1 species
UACACUCCUACGGGAGGCAGCAGUGGGGAAUUUUGGACAAUGGGCGAAAGCCUGAUCCAGCCAUGCCGCGUGCAGGAUGAAGGCCUUCGGGUUGUAAACUGCUUUUGUACGGAACGAAACGGCCUUUUCUAAUAAAGAGGGCUAAUGACGGUACCGUAAGAAUAAGCACCGGCUAACUACGUGCCAGCAGCCGCGGUAAUACGUAGGGUGCAAGCGUUAAUCGGAAUUACUGGGCGUAAAGCGUGCGCAGGCGGUUAUGUAAGACAGUUGUGAAAUCCCCGGGCUCAACCUGGGAACUGCAUCUGUGACUGCAUAGCUAGAGUACGGUAGAGGGGGAUGGAAUUCCGCGUGUAGCAGUGAAAUGCGUAGAUAUGCGGAGGAACACCGAUGGCGAAGGCAAUCCCCUGGACCUGUACUGACGCUCAUGCACGAAAGCGUGGGGAGCAAACAGGAUUAGAAACCCCUGUAGUCCCA